CACGUAGGGCGCGAGCGUUGUCCGGAAUUAUUGGGCGUAAAGAGCUCGUAGGCGGUCUGUCGCGUCGGAUGUGAAAAUCCAGGGCUCAACCCUGGACCUGCAUUCGAUACGGGCAGACUAGAGUUCGGUAGGGGAGACUGGAAUUCCUGGUGUAGCGGUGAAAUGCGCAGAUAUCAGGAGGAACACCGGUGGCGAAGGCGGGUCUCUGGGCCGAAACUGACGCUGAGGAGCGAAAGCGUGGGGAGCAAACAGG
rnacentral:rRNA from 1 species